rnacentral:rRNA from 1 species
CCUACGGGGGGCUGCAGUGAGGAAUAUUGGUCAAUGGACGAGAGUCUGAACCAGCCAAGUAGCGUGAAGGAUGACUGCCCUAUGGGUUGUAAACUUCUUUUAUAUGGGAAUAAAACGUUCCACGUGUGGGAUUUUGUAUGUACCAUAUGAAUAAGGAUCGGCUAACUCCGUGCCAGCAGCCGCGGUAAUACGGAGGAUCCGAGCGUUAUCCGGAUUUAUUGGGUUUAAAGGGAGCGUAGGUGGAUUGUUAAGUCAGUUGUGAAAGUUUGCGGCUCAACCGUAAAAUUGCAGUUGAAACUGGCAGUCUUGAGUACAGUAGAGGUGAGCGGAAUUCGUGGUGUAGCGGUGAAAUGCUUAGAUAUCACGAAGAACUCCGAUUGCGAAGGCAGUUCACUGGACUGCAACUGACACUGAGGCUCGAAAGUGUGGGUAUCAAACAGGAUUAGAUACCCCAGUAGUC